rnacentral:lncRNA from 1 species
UGUUUUUAUUUAUUGCUCUGCCAGCUUGUUUUUUUUGCAAUUAUCCAUUUAUAACAUGCAUUUAAUACGCUGCUUAACUAAUCAGAGAAGGCCACACUCUGUUUUAACAUAAAUUAAACAGUUAAAUAAAUCCUCCCUGCUUUYGUUCUGUGUCUCCGAGAUUUUCAGGGCUCUUUCUUCAGCGAAGACUUCGUUCCGCAGAGUGAAUGCUCCUCGGAGAGGUGGCAGCAAGGAUGGCUGGAGCAGGGAGCGUUUUGCAAGGGGUGGAUGGUUCCCCUCUCCUCCCACUSCUGUGUYGGACCGAAGGCCUUUUCCAUCUCCRCCUGUGACUGCUUUUACAUCAGCCCACCUAACAUUUCUUCUAUGCAUUGCUGUAGUCUUCAUCUUCAGGUGCUUUAAUUCUGCCCAGAUGGAUGAGAAUAGAUGAAUGUCUUCAUCCUGCAGACCAAAGGAAGUAGUAAUCCACUUCAUCUGUCRCGAUCUCCCAUUGGUAAGCCCUUGUAAUGUUAUACCCUAUAUACUCUUGCCUACAACUAGUCUUGCUGUCUGAAUCUGCUGUGAAAUCUCAUCCUCUAUCAGAUCAGAUUAAUGGGCUUGCAUCUUAUGUUUAAAUACAGCCCCCACAUAUGCUGUACUCCAAACCAAUAAUGUCUCGAGGCAAUAAAAUGAAUUGCUAGCAGAAAUGCUUUCCCUUG